rnacentral:rRNA from 1 species
UCAGUCGUAUAUAUGACCGUCGAGCGUAUAACAGGGGUAGCUUGCUACCCGCUGACGAGCGGCGGACGGGUGAGUAAUGCUUAGGAAUCUGCCCAGUAGUGGGGGAUAGCCCGGGGAAACCCGGAUUAAUACCGCAUACGUCCUACGGGAGAAAGCAGGGGAUCUUCGGACCUUGCGCUAUUGGAUGAGCCUAAGUCGGAUUAGCUAGUUGGUGGGGUAAAGGCCUACCAAGGCGACGAUCCGUAGCUGGUCUGAGAGGAUGAUCAGCCACAUCGGGACUGAGACACGGCCCGAACUCCUACGGGAGGCAGCAGUGGGGAAUAUUGGACAAUGGGGGCAACCCUGAUCCAGCCAUGCCGCGUGUGUGAAGAAGGCUUUCGGGUUGUAAAGCACUUUCAGUAGGGAGGAAAACCUUAUGGCUAAUACCCAUGAGGCUUGACGUUACCUACAGAAGAAGCACCGGCUAACUCCGUGCCAGCAGCCGCGGUAAUACGGAGGGUGCAAGCGUUAAUCGGAAUUACUGGGCGUAAAGCGCGCGUAGGUGGUUUGGUAAGCGAGAUGUGAAAGCCCCGGGCUUAACCUGGGAACGGCAUUUCGAACUGUCAGACUAGAGUGUGGUAGAGGGUAGUGGAAUUUCCUGUGUAGCGGUGAAAUGCGUAGAUAUAGGAAGGAACACCAGUGGCGAAGGCGGCUACCUGGACCAACACUGACACUGAGGUGCGAAAGCGUGGGGGAGCAAACAGGAUUAGAUACCCUGGUAGUCCACGCCGUAAACGAUGUCAACUAGCCGUUGGGACUCUUGAAGUCUUAGUGGCGCAGCUAACGCACUAAAGUUGACCGCCUGGGGGAGUACGGGCCGCAAGGUUAAAACUCAAAUGAAUUGACGGGGCCCCGCACAAGCGGGUGGAGCAUGUGGUUUAAAUUCGACGCAAUCGCGAAGAAUCCUUACCCUGGCCUUGACAUCCCAGAAGAACUUUCCAGAGAUGGGAUUGGUGCCUUCGGGGAAACUCUGGAAGAACAGUGCCUGCA